rnacentral:rRNA from 1 species
CAAUAGCGUAUAUUAACGUUGUUGCAGUUAAAAAGCUCGUAGUUGGAUUUCUGGAGGGAGCGUCGGCCCGUAUUUACGAGUGCGUGACGUCUCUGUCCAUCCUUGCGGGAAGGCACGGCAUUGAUUUGUUGUGUCGGAUCGCAUCAUUUACUGUGAAAAAAUUAGAGUGUCCAAAGCAGGCUUUCGCUUGAAUACAUUAGCAUGGAAUAAUAAGAUAGGACUUUGGUGCUAUUUUGUUGGUUGAGCCUAAAGUAAUGAUUAAUAGGGAUAGUUGGGGGCACCUGUAUUGCGUUGUCAGAGGUGAAAUUCUUGGAUUUACGCAAGACAAACAGCUGCGAANGNGUCUGCNAAGGAUGUUUNCAUUA